GACGAACGCUGGCGGCGUGCUUAACACAUGCAAGUCGAACGGAAAGGCCCUGCUUUUGUGGGGUGCUCGAGUGGCGAACGGGUGAGUAACACGUGAGUAACCUGCCCUUGACUUUGGGAUAACUUCAGGAAACUGGGGCUAAUACCGGAUAGGGGCUCCUGCUGCAUGGUGGGGGUUGGAAAGUUUCGGCGGUUGGGGAUGGACUCUCGGCUUAUCAGCUUGUUGGUGGGGUAGUGGCUUACCAAGGCUUUGACGGGUAGCCGGCCUGAGAGGGUGACCGGCCACAUUGGGACUGAGAUACGGCCCAGACUCCUACGGGAGGCAGCAGUGGGGAAUAUUGCACAAUGGGCGGAAGCCUGAUGCAGCAACGCCGCGUGCGGGAUGACGGCCUUCGGGUUGUAAACCGCUUUCGCCUGUGACGAAGCGUGAGUGACGGUAAUGGGUAAAGAAGCACCGGCUAACUACGUG
rnacentral:rRNA from 1 species